GACGAACGCUGGCGGCGUGCUUAACACAUGCAAGUCGAGCGGUAAGGCCCUUUCGGGGGUACGACGAGCGGCGAACGGGUGAGUAACACGUGGGUGACCUGCCCUCAGCUCUGGGAUAAGCCUGGGAAACCGGGUCUAAUACUGGAUAUGACUCCAUGACGCAUGUUGGUGGGGUGGAAAGCCUUGUGCGGCUGAGGAUGGGCCCGCGGCCUAUCAGCUUGUUGGUGGGGUGANGGCCUACCAAGGCGACGACGGGUAGCCGGCCUGAGAGGGCGACCGGCCACACUGGGACUGAGACACGGCCCAGACUCCUACGGGAGGCAGCAGUGGGGAAUCUUGCGCAAUGGGCGAAAGCCUGACGCAGCGACGCCGCGUGAGGGAUGACGGCCUCGG
rnacentral:rRNA from 1 species